UAUUGGACAAUGGGCGAAAGCCUGAUCCAGCAAUGCCGCGUGAGUGAUGAAGGCCUUAGGGUUGUAAAGCUCUUUUACCCGGGAUGAUAAUGACAGUACCGGGAGAAUAAGCUCCGGCUAACUCCGUGCCAGCAGCCGCGGUAAUACGGAGGGAGCUAGCGUUGUUCGGAAUUACUGGGCGUAAAGCGCACGUAGGCGGCUUUGUAAGUUAGAGGUGAAAGCCUGGAGCUCAACUCCAGAAUUGCCUUUGAUACUGCAUCGCUUGAAUCCAGGAGAGGUGAGUGGAAUUCCGAGUGUAGAGGUGAAAUUCGUAGAUAUUCGGAAGAACACCAGUGGCGAAGGCGGCUCACUGGACUGGUAUGACGCUGAGUGCGAAA
rnacentral:rRNA from 1 species